rnacentral:rRNA from 1 species
UACGUAGGGGGCUAGCGUUGUCCGGAUUUAUUGGGCGUAAAGAGCGCGUAGGCGGCCAGGUAAGUCCGACGUGAAAUCUGGAGGCUCAACCUCCAGCGGUCGUUGGAAACUACCUGGCUAGAGUCCGGAAGAGGAGAGUGGAAUUCCUGGUGUAGCGGUGAAAUGCGCAGAUAUCAGGAAGAACACCGAUGGCGAAAGCAGCUCUCUGGGACGGUACUGACGCUGAGGCGCGAAAGCGUGGGGAGCGAAC